GCUGCUCUCUGCCUUCUCCUCUCCCUCCUCCUCCUCCUCCUCUACCUCCUUCUCCUUCUCUUCCCAUUGUAUUUCACCCACCAAGAAACUCCAAACCCAAGCAUCUUUGGGCAUCAAGCUCCUCCUCCACCCUACAUCCUCCCUGAUUUCUCCCUGCUAGGGAGGGCAAAGGCAGAAGGAGCCCACACUCUAGGGGAAGAGAAUUAGACUCCAUCUUCAGAAGGGAGGAGGCUCAAAGGAUUUGUGGAUCUACUUUAAAACCAUCACAGCAUGUGAGGUGAGGCCAGGGCACUGGGAUUUUUAAACACCCACAGGUGACUCCAGCGUGCAGCCAGGGCUGAGACCUACUGUCUUGCAAAGUCACCAAUCAGAGGUGGAGACUACAGAUUCAGCAAGACAUGACUUCAAGGUCUCUCCUUUCUGAUCUUGGGAUCUCACACCCUCAUCCUCUUGGCCGCCAGGAGGCUCCCCGGCUCAUCUGUGAUGAUCCUGAUGCUGUAACAUGCACAGGAGCAACUCAGAGUGACCAGGGAGUGGACUGGGACCUCCCUGCCUGCUGACCUCCAAGGACUUUCCAGGCCCACUCUGCUUGUCCUCCAGCCCCAGCCACUCCUCCAGGCCACCCUGGGGUCUCAGGGUCCUGGCCUGCCGGCUUCCCACGUGCUCCUUCCUCUCCAUAUUCCCUCUCUCUCUGUUUCUCUCUGUCUUUCUGUCUCUGUCUCCAUCUGUCCCUUUCUUUGGCUCCAGCUUUCUCUUGGAGAUCUCCUGGCCAGAGCUCCUAAGGCUGCAGAAAUCAGAAGGCUGCCCCUCAAGAGGACAGCAGCUCUGCCCUAGUAAUGAGGAGGAAGGAUAACUCUUCUCAGGAAUUAAUGAGACCACCAAGAACAAAAGAGGCGACCAGCAGAGGCCAGAGAGGCAGGGCCGCGUUAAGCCAUCCCCGCAGAAUCGCAUGCCAGCAAUAAUAGAGUCAGGAAAAAUGGAGUCGAGAUCCCUGUGGUAAAAACUAUUAGAGGAGGCGAAUUAUAAAACUAUUAACCAGAAUGUAACUCCCAAUUAAAAGAUGAUUUAACACUGGAACCUGAUGGAUGAAUUUUGAUUAAAUGGAGAACUAUUAGGAGCCCAGGGAUAAGGCUGUUCCUGCCAGUUCUAAAAGUUAAAAGGCAGUUUGAUAUAAAAAUUUAUAAAUUAAGGUUAAUUACUUUAAAUAACACGGCUGGAAGCAAUGAAAGGAAAUUUGUCAGAAUCUCCAGAGUUUGGGGCAAGAUGGAUACAGAUGUCUGGACUGGCCCCAGGGAGCCUGGAGGUCAGGGCAGGGAUGGUCAAGGCCAGCAAAAGGGCAGGUGACGUCCGUGCUCCUGCAGAACCCCACCAAGA
rnacentral:lncRNA from 1 species